UUACGGCCACAUCACGGUGAAACACUAGUUCUCGUCCCGUCAUCGAAAUUAAGCAACGUUGAGCCUGGUCAGUACCUAGAUGGGUGACCGCUUCGGAAUACCAGGUGCUGUAAG